UAGGGAAUCUUCCACAAUGGACGAAAGUCUGAUGGAGCAACGCCGCGUGAGUGAAGAAGGUUUUCGGAUCGUAAAGCUCUGUUGUUGGUGAAGAAGGAUAGAGGCAGUAACUGGUCUUUAUUUGACGGUAAUCAACCAGAAAGUCACGGCUAACUACGUGCCAU
rnacentral:rRNA from 1 species